rnacentral:rRNA from 1 species
GGCCUAAUACAUGCAAGUCGAACGGUUGGUAGCAAUACCAAUAGUGGCGCACGGGUGCGUAACGCGUAACCAACCUACCCGAAUCUGGGGGAUAGCCCGCCGAAAGGCGGAUUAAUACCGCAUAAAACUGCAGGACGGCAUCGUUCAACAGUUAAAGAUUUAUUGGAUUCGGAUGGGGUUGCGUGCCAUUAGCUAGUUGGGGGGGUAACGGCCCACCAAGGCGACGAUGGCUAGGGGAGCUGAGAGGCUGGUCCCCCACACGGGCACUGAGAUACGGGCCCGACUCCUACGGGAGGCAGCAGUAGGGAAUAUUGGCAAUGGUCGAGAGACUGACCCAGCCAUGCCGCGUGCAGGAUGAAGGCUUUCUGAGUCGUAAACUGCUUUUGCCAGGGAAGAAAAAAGGGGAUGCGUCCUCUACUGACGGUACCUGGUGAAUAAGCACCGGCUAACUCCGUGCCAGCAGCCGCGGUAAUACGGAGGGUGCAAGCGUUGUCCGGAUUUAUUGGGUUUAAAGGGUGCGUAGGCGGCUUUUCAAGUCUGGGGUGAAAGCCCGUUGCUCAACAACGGAACUGCCCUGGAAACUGGAGAGCUUGAGUACAGACGAGGGUGGCGGAAUGGAUACUGUAGCGGUGAAAUGCAUAGAUAGUAUCCAGAACCCCGAUUGCGAAGGCAGCUGCCUAGACUGUAACUGACGCUGAGGCACGAAAGCGUGGGGAGCGAACAGGAUUAGAUACCCUGGUAGUCCACGCCGUAAACGAUGGAUACUCGCUGGUGGCGACAGACUGUCACUGGCUUAGCGAAAGCGUUAAGUAUCCCACCUGGGGAGUACGCUCGCAAGAG